rnacentral:rRNA from 1 species
AUUGAACGCUGGCGGCAGGCUUAACACAUGCAAGUCGAGCGGUAGCACAGGGGAGCUUGCUCCCUGGGUGACGAGCGGCGGACGGGUGAGUAAUGUCUGGGAAACUGCCUGAUGGAGGGGGAUAACUACUGGAAACGGUAGCUAAUACCGCAUAAUGUCGCAAGACCAAAGUGGGGGACCUUAGGGCCUCACACCAUCGGAUGUGCCCAGAUGGGAUUAGCUAGUAGGUGGGGUAAUGGCUCACCUAGGCGACGAUCCCUAGCGGGUCUGAGAGGAUGACCAGCCACACUGGAACUGAGACACGGUCCAGACUCCUACGGGAGGCAGCAGUGGGGAAGAUUGCACAAUGGGCGCAAGCCUGAUGCAGCCAUGCCGCGUGUGUGAAGAAGGCCUUAGGGUUGUAAAGCACUUUCAGCGAGGAGGAAGGGUGGUGUGUUAAUAGCACAUCACAUUGACGUUACUCGCAGAAGAAGCACCGGCUAACUCCGUGCCAGCCGCCGCGGUAA